rnacentral:rRNA from 1 species
AGACAGCAGUAGCCACGGGAAUACGAAGGGUGCAAGCGUUACUCGGAAUUACUGGGCGUAAAGCGUGCGUAGGUGGUGGUUUAAGUCCGUUGUGAAAGCCCUGGGCUCAACCUGGGAAUUGCAGUGGAUACUGGGUCACUAGAGUGUGGUAGAGGAUAGUGGAAUUUCCGGUGUAGCAGUGAAAUGCGUAGAGAUCGGAAGGAACAUCUGUGGCGAAGGCGACUAUCUGGGCCAACACUGACACUGAGGCACGAAAGCGUGGGGAGCAAACAGGAUUAGAUACCCGAGUAGUCCCUGUCUCUUAUAC